GACGAACGCUGGCGGCGUGCUUAACACAUGCAAGUCGAACGGAAAGGCCCUGCUUUUGUGGGGUGCUCGAGUGGCGAACGGGUGAGUAACACGUGAGUAACCUGCCCUUGACUUUGGGAUAACUUCAGGAAACUGGGGCUAAUACCGGAUAGGAGCUCCUGCUGCAUGGUGGGGGUUGGAAAUUUUCGGCGGUUGGGGAUGGACUCGCGGCUUAUCAGCUUGUUGGUGGGGUAGUGGCUUACCAAGGCUUUGACGGGUAGCCGGCCUGAGAGGGUGACCGGCCACAUUGGGACUGAGAUACGGCCCAGACUCCUACGGGAGGCAGCAGUGGGGAAUAUUGCACAAUGGGAGGAAGCCUGAUGCAGCAACGCCGCGUGCGGGAUGACGGCCUUCGGGUUGUAAACCGCUUUCGCCUGUGACGAAGCGUGAGUGACGGUAAUGGGUAAAGAAGCACCGGCUAACUACGUG
rnacentral:rRNA from 1 species